GUUUUGGUCGGAUUGGAAGAUUGGUUUUACGAGUAGCAAUAUUCAGGGAUGAUAUUGACGUGGUGGCAGUGAAUGAUCCUUUUAUUGAUGCUAAAUACAUGGCCUACAUGUUUAAAUAUGACUCUACUCAUGGAUUAUUCAAAGGAAGCAUUAAGGUUGUAGAUGAUUCAACCUUAGAAAUCAAUGGGAAGCAGAUUAAGGUUGUGAGUAAAAGGGUGGAGCCAAGAAAGUAGUUUUAUCAGCUCCAUCAGAUGAUGCUCCCAUGUUUGUGGUUGGAGUAAAUGAGCAGACAU